rnacentral:rRNA from 1 species
AUCUCAGUUCGGAUUGAAGUCUGAAAUUCGACUUCACGAAGCUGGAAUUGCUAGUAAUGGCAGGUCAGCAUACUGCCGUGAAUACGUUCCCGGGCCUUGUACACACCGCCCGUCACACCAUGAGAGUUGGGAAUACCCGAAGCCUGUGAGCUUAACUUUUAAGAGGCAGCAGUCGAAGGUAGAAUCAAUGAUUGGGGUGAAGUCGUAACAAGGUACC